GGUUUCUUGAAUAAAUAAGAAAUCCACCCUGCCCUCUGAAUMAMUUUAAAGGGCCGCAGUAUAUUGUCUGUSCAAAGGUAGCAUAAUCAUUAGGUUUUUAAUUGAAAUCUGGAAUGAAUGGAUUGAUGAAAUUUUAGCUGUCUUUAUUUUAUAAAUUGAAAUUAGCUUUUUAGUGAAAAGGCUUAAAUGAUAUUAAGGGACGAGAAGACCCUAUAGAGUUUGAUUUUUAUAGAUUUAAUAUUUGAAGGGAAAGAAGAGAUUAUAAAUCUGAUAUGGAAUUUUGUUGGGGUGAUGAGAGAAUAAGAAUAACUUCUUUUUAAUUUUACAUUGAUGAAUGGCAUGAUGAGCUUUUAUUAAAAAUUUAGAGAUAAAAUUACCUUAGGGAUAACAGCGUAAUUUUAUUUGAGAGYUCAAAUCGAUUAUAAAGUUUGCGACCUCGAUGUUGGAUUAGAAUAAAAUUUAGGUGAAGAGGCUUAAUUAUUUUGGUCUGUUCGACCAUUAAAAUUCUACA
rnacentral:rRNA from 1 species